AGAUUGAACGCUGGCGGCAUGCCUUACACAUGCAAGUCGAGCGGCAGCGCGGGGGCAACCCUGGCGGCGAGCGGCGAACGGGUGAGUAAUGCAUCGGAACGUGUCCUCUUGUGGGGGAUAACCAGUCGGAAGACUGGCUAAUACCGCAUGAGAUCGAGAGAUGAAAGCAAGGGACCGCAAGGCCUUGCGCGAGAGGAGCGGCCGAUGCCGGAUUAGCUAGUUGGUGGGGUAACGGCCUACCAAGGCGACGAUCUGUAGCUGGUCUGAGAGGACGACCAGCCACACUGGGACUGGAGACACGGCCCAGACCUCCGUACGGGAGGCAGCGAGGUGGGGAAUUUGGACAAGUGGGGGACAACCGUGAUCCAGCCAUGCCGCGUGUGUGAAGAGGCCUUCGGUUGAAGCGAUUUCGGACGGAAGAAGUCGCGACGGUUAAUA
rnacentral:rRNA from 1 species